rnacentral:rRNA from 1 species
GAUGAACGCUGGCGGCGUGCUUAAUACAUGCAAGUCGAGCGAACAGACGAGGCGCUUGCUCCUUUGACGUUAGCGGAGCACGGGAGAGUAACACGUGGAUAACCUACCUAUAAGACUGGUAUAAUCUCGGGAAACCGGAGCUAAUACCGGAUAAUAUAUUGAACCGUAUGGUUCAAUAGUGAAAGACGGUUUUGCUGUCACUUAUAGAUGCAUCUGGGCCGCAUUAGGUAGUUGGUAAGGUAACGGCUUACCAAGGCUACGAUGCGUAGCCGACCUGAGAGAGUGAUCGCCCACAUGGGAGCUGGGACACGGUCAAGGCUCCUACGGGAGGCAGCAGUAGGGAAUGGUCCGCAAUAGGCGAAAGCCUGACGGAGCGACGCCGCGUGAGUGAUGAAGGUGUUCGGAUCGUGAAGCUCUGUUACUAGGGAAGAACAGAUGUGUAAGUAACUAUGCACGGCUUGACGGUACCGGAUCAGGAAGCAACGGCUAACUACGUG